rnacentral:rRNA from 1 species
UUGCGGUUAAAAAGCUCGUAGUUGGAUCUCGGCAAGUAGAGGGCGGUAUGCUUCGUAGCAUUACUGCCCUAUUACUUGUAGUUUUGCCAGAGGUUCCUGGGUGCUCUUAAUCGAGUGUCUAGGGAUGCUGGCAGGUUUACUUUGAAAAAAUUAGAGUGCUCAAAGCAGGCUAUUACGCUUGAAUAUUCGUGCAUGGAAUAAUAGAAUAGGAAGUUGUUUCUAUUUUGUUGGUUUUCGGAAAUCGACUUAAUGAUUAAUAGGGACAGUCGGGGGCAUUUGUAUUCAAACGACAGAGGUGAAAUUCUUGGACCGUUUGAAGACAAACUACUGCGAAAGCAUUUGCCAAGAAUGUUUUCAUUAAUCAAGAACGAAAGUUAGAGGUUCGAAGGCGAUUAGAUACCGCCCUAGUUCUAACCAUAAACGAUGCCAGCUAGCGAUCUGAGGACGUUUUUUUUGUAGACUCCUCAGGAAGCUUCCGGGAAACCAAAGCGUGUGGGUUCCGGGGGAAGUAUGGUUGCAAAGCUGAAACUUAAAGGAAUUGACGGAAGGGCACCACCAGGAGUGGAGCCUGCGGCUUAAUUUGACUCAACACGGGAAAUCUCACCAGGCCCGGACACUGGAAGGAUUGACAGAUUGAGAGCUCU